UACGGAGGGGGCUAGCGUUGUUCGGAAUUACUGGGGCGUAAAGCGCACGUAGGCGGCUUUGUAAGUUAGAGGUGAAAGCCCAGGGCUCAACCCUGGAAUUGCCUUUAAGACUGCAUCGCUAGAAUUGUGGAGAGGUAAGUGGAAUUCCGAGUGUAGAGGUGAAAUUCGUAGAUAUUCGGAAGAACACCAGUGGCGAAGGCGACUUACUGGACACAUAUUGACGCUGAGGUGGCGAAAGCGUGGGGAGC
rnacentral:rRNA from 1 species